rnacentral:snRNA from 1 species
GUGCUUGCUUCAGCAGCACAUAUAAUAAAAUUGGAACCAUAAAGGAAGAUGAGCAUGGCCCCUAUGUGAAGAUGAUACACAAAAUAUUAGGAGCUUGGAAUUAACAU